CCCGGCUGCUCGGAGUUGGUCCUGCGGGUGGCAGGUGAGGACAGAACCAGGUAGCAGUGGCAGCAGCGCAAGCCACGGAAGCAGGCACAGAGGGAUUUCACCAAGCGAAGCAGGCAGCCUCUGAAACGGGAAGCAGCAGCAGCAGAUGACGGGAACGAUGGAUAUCCGGGACAGCCAGGAACGUGAAGAGGACCUGAAGGAACACGCAGAACGGCUCUUUUCAAGGCACCAGCAGGUGUUUGUCAAGAAUGGAGUUCCUAACCCAGGAUCUUCGCUCCCGUUCAGCUUUGAGCUGCAAUCUUUAAGGCACAAUCCUAUGGAAGUCUAGACAGAAAAAAGGCCUCUGACUUCUAGCGUGCGCCAGCCGUCAUGCAUAGGAUUGUGCCCUCAGCAGCUCAGUGAUGAGUGUGCUUGAUAGGAGCUCCAGGGAAGAAAGGAAGGAAGGAAG